rnacentral:rRNA from 1 species
GGCGUGAAAGCUCCGGGCCCAACCCGGAGAGGUCGUUCAAUACUGCGUGUCUAGAGGGUGUCAGAGGGGAGUGGAAUUUCCGGAGUAGCGGUAAAAUGCGCAGAGAUCGGAAAGAACACCAAUGGCGAAGGCAGCUCCCUGGGGCAUACCUGACGCUAAGAGACGAAAGCUAGGGGAGCGAACAGGAUUAGAGACCCUGGCAGUCCUAGCCCUAAACGAUGGAUGCUGGAUGUGGGGCCAUAGCGCUCCGUGUCGAAGCGGACGCGUUAAGCAUCCCGCCUGGGGACUACGGCCGCAAGGUUAAAACUCAAACGAAUUGACGGGACCCCGCACAAGCAGCGGAGCGUGUGGUUUAAUUCGAUGCUACACGAAGAACCUUACCUGGGUUUGACAUCUAGGUGGUAGCGAAGUGAAAGCGGAGCGACCCUUUGGGGAGCCUAGACAGGUGCUGCAUGGCUGUCGUCAGCUCGUGCCGUGAGGUGUCGGGUUAAGUCCCGUAACGAGCGCAACCCUUGCCCUCCGUUAUACGUGUCAGAGGGGACUGCCGGCGGUAAGCCGGAGGAAGGUGGGGAUGACGUCAAGUCAGCAUGGCCUUUAUAUCCAGGGCUACACACACGCUACAAUGGCCAGUACAAAGGGCAGCGAAGCCGCGAGGUGGAGCGAAUCCCAGCAAAGCUGGUCGUAGUUCGGAUUGCAGGCUGCAACCCGCCUGCAUGAAGCUGGAGUUGCUAGUAACCGCGCGUCAGCCAUAGUGCGGUGAAUACGUUCCCNGGGGUUUGUACACACCGCCCGUCACGUCAUGGGAGUCGAUAACGCCCUGAAGCCGGUGGCCACUAGCUCGGAAGAGAGGGCGCUGUCUAAGGCGGGGUCGGUGACUGGGACGAAGUCGUCACAAG